GAUGAACGCUGGCGGCGUGCCUAAUACAUGCAAGUCGAGCGAACAGACGAGGAUCUUGCUUCUCUUACGUUAGCGGCGGACGGGUGAGUAACACGUGGAUAACCUACCUAUAAGACUGGGAUAACUUCGGGAAACCGGAGCUAAUACCGGAUAAUAUAUUGAACCGCAUGGUUCAAUAGUGAAAGACGGUUUUGCUGUCACUUAUAGAUGGAUCCGCGCCGCAUUAGCUAGUUGGUAAGGUAACGGCUUACCAAGGCAACGAUGCGUAGCCGACCUGAGAGGGUGAUCGGCCACACUGGAACUGAGACACGGUCCAGACUCCUACGGGAGGCAGCAGUAGGGAAUAUUCCGCAAUGGGCGAAAGCCUGACGGAGCAACGCCGCGUGAGUGAUGAAGGUCUUCGGAUCGUAAAACUCUGUUAUUAGGGAAGAACAAAAGUGUAAGUAACUCUGCACGUCUUGACGGUACCAAAACAGAAAGCCACGGCUAACUACGUG
rnacentral:rRNA from 1 species